rnacentral:tRNA from 1 species
UCCCUGGUGGCUCAGAUGGUAAAGCAUCUGCCUACAGUGCAGGAGACCAGGGUUCGAUCCCUGGGUUGGGAA